AUUGAGUAGUUUUAGAUGGCAAAUUAUCAAACGGAAAUAUCAAAUGAAAAUUAAAAUAAAAUUAUACUAAUUCUUAACAUUAACUCCUUGCAAUUUUGUAUUUUGUAAUUUUAUAUAUUCAGUAAUUAUUUUAACAGAUAACUCUUAUGCAUUGUGUUAUGAGCAUACCUUAUUGUAUUUGUAUUGACCAAGGUCUAAUAAUUCAGCAUUAUUUUUAUAUAUACCUACGUGACAAAAUACCAGACUGUACAAUUAAUUUGUAAUUCAGGAAAAGUAAAAAACUGUAUUUUUGAAUGUUAAUAUUGUCUAUAUUUGUUAAUUGUUUGUGAGUACAGAAAUGUGAUAUGCUAUAUUUGUAAUACAUUGAUAUUUGUGAAAUGUACGCUAGAACUGUAAUGUGAUAUCUGAGAUUUGUAAUACAUUGUUAUGACUGUGUUAAAGGGAGGUAAUUAAAUUUAUAUAAUUACUUAUCAAAGAUACCAGGCUUAUAAUAUGAAACGCCAGACACACGUUUCAUCUAAAUAAGACUCAUCUGUGACGCUCAGAUCAAAAGUUAGAAAGUCAAAGAAGUAAAGUUUUG
rnacentral:lncRNA from 1 species